rnacentral:rRNA from 1 species
GACGAACGCUGGCGGCGUGCUUAACACAUGCAAGUCGAACGGAAAGGCCCUGCUUUUGUGGGGUGCUCGAGUGGCGAACGGGUGAGUAACACGUGAGUAACCUGCCCUUGACUUUGGGAUAACUUCAGGAAACUGGGGCUAAUACCGGAUAGGAGCUCCUGCUGCAUGGUGGGGGGUUGGAAAGUUUCGGCGGUUGGGGAUGGACUCGCGGCUUAUCAGCUUGUGGGUGGGGUAGUGGCUUACCAAGGCUUUGACGGGUAGCCGGCCUGAGAGGGUGACCGGCCACAUUGGGACUGAGAUACGGCCCAGACUCCUACGGGAGGCAGCAGUGGGGAAUAUUGCACAAUGGGCGGAAGCCUGAUGCAGCAACGCCGCGUGCGGGAUGACGGCCUUCGGGUUGUAAACCGCUUUCGCCUGUGACGAAGCGUGAGUGACGGUAAUGGGUAAAGAAGCACCGGCUAACUACGUG